GGUCUCAUGGUGUAAUGGUUAGCACUCUGGACUCUGAAUCCAGCGAUCAGAGUUCAAAUCUCGGUGAGACCU
rnacentral:tRNA from 1 species